rnacentral:rRNA from 1 species
GACGAACGCUGGCGGCGUGCCUAAUACAUGCAAGUCGAACGCAGUGGGGACGGGUGAGUAACACGUGGGUAACCUCCCAUCAGAGGGGAUAACACUUGGAAACAGGUGCUAAACCGAUACUGAUGGAUGAACCCGCGGUGCAUUAGCUAUUUGGUGAGGUAACGGCUCACAAAGGCCACGAUGCAUCGCGGACCUGAGAGGGUGAUCGGCCACACUGGGACGGAGACACGGCCCAGACUCCUACGGUACGCAGCAGUAGGGAAUCUUCGGACAUUGACUAAAGUCUGACCGAGAAACGCCGCGUGAGUGAAUAAGGUUUUCGGAUCUUAAAACUCUGUUGUUAGAGAAGCGGUAUCUAACCAGAAAGCCACGGCUAACUACGUGCCAGCCGCCGCGGUAAUAC